CGGGUGCUUAGUGGCGCACGGGUGCGUAACGCGUGGGAAUCUGCCCCUUGGUUCGGAAUAACAGUUGGAAACGACUGCUAAUACCGGAUGAUGACGUAAGUCCAAAGAUUUAUCGCCGAGGGAUGAGCCCGCGUAGGAUUAGGUAGUUGGUGUGGUAAAGGCGCACCAAGCCGACGAUCCUUAGCUGGUCUGAGAGGAUGAUCAGCCACACUGGGACUGAGACACGGCCCAGACUCCUACGGGAGGCAGCAGUGGGGAAUAUUGGACAAUGGGCGAAAGCCUGAUCCAGCAAUGCCGCGUGAGUGAUGAAGGCCUUAGGGUUGUAAAGCUCUUUUACCCGGGAUGAUAAUGACAGUACCGGGAGAAUAAGCUCCGGCUAACUCCGUGCCAGCAGCCGCGGUAAUACGGAGGGAGCUAGCGUUAUUCGGAAUUACUGGGCGUAAAGCGCACGUAGGCGGCUUUGUAAGUAAGAGGUGAAAGCCCAGAGCUCAACUCUGGAAUUGCCUUUUAGACUGCAUCGCUUGAAUCAUGGAGAGGUCAGUGGAAUUCCGAGUGUAGAGGUGAAAUUCGUAGAUAUUCGGAAGAACACCAGUGGCGAAGGCGGCUGACUGGACAUGUAUUGACGCUGAG
rnacentral:rRNA from 1 species